rnacentral:rRNA from 1 species
UAGAUACCCUGGUAGUCCACGCCAUAAACGAUGAACACUUGGUGUUGGAGGUAUUGACCCCUUCAGUGCCGAAGCUAACGCGUUAAGUGUUCCGCCUGGGGAGUACGGUCGCAAGAUUAAAACUCAAAGAAAUUGACGGGGGCCCGCACAAGCGGUGGAGUAUGUGGUUUAAUUCGAUGCAACGCGCAGAACCUUACCUGGGCUUGACAUGGACUGGAAGAGUGGCGGAGACGUCCUCGCCCGCAAGGGC